rnacentral:rRNA from 1 species
AGCGAACGCUGGCGGCAGGCCUAACACAUGCAAGUCGAACGAUCCUUCGGGAUAGUGGCGGACGGGUGAGUAACACGUGGGAACGUGCCCUUUGGUUCGGAACAACUCGGGGAAACUUGAGAUAAUACCGAAUGUGCCCUCCGGGGAAAGAUUUAUCGCCAUUGGAGCGGCCCGCGUCUGAUUAGCUAGUUGGUGAGGUAAUGGCUCACCAAGGCGACGAUCAGUAGCUGGUCUGAGAGGAUGAUCAGCCACACUGGGACUGAGACACGGCCCAGACUCCUACGGGAGGCAGCAGUGGGGAAUCUUGCGCAAUGGGCGAAAGCCUGACGCAGCCAUGCCGCGUGAAUGAUGAAGGUCUUAGGAUUGUAAAAUUCUUUCACCGGGGACGAUAAUGACGGUACCCGGAGAAGAAGCUCCGGCUAACUUCGUGCCAGCCGCCGCGGUAAGAC